rnacentral:tRNA from 1 species
GGCAAAGUAACUCAGUAGGGAAAGCAUUAGACUGAAGAUCUAAAGGUCCCUGGUUCAAAACAGGGCUUCAGAUUUGGUCU